rnacentral:rRNA from 1 species
GACGUAGGGGCCGAGCGUUGUCCGGAGUUACUGGGCGUAAAGGGCGCGCAGGCGGUUCUCCGCAUCUCUGGUGAAAGCCCCGAGCUUAACUCGGGAGGGUCCAGGGAGAUGGGGGACUUGAGGCAGGGCGAGGGCGGUGGAAUUCCGGGUGUAGUGGUGAAAUGCGUAGAGCUCCGGAGGAACACCAGUGGCGAAGGCGGCCGCCUGGACCUGACCUGACGCUGAGGCGCGAAGGCGUGGGGAGCGAACGGG